NCCUUAACUUAUUUUUUGGUUUCGUUUUGGUCCCUUAACUCUUCCUCCGUCAACCACUUUGGUCCUUUAUGCUAGGAUGAAUGUAUUAGAGUUAAGGGACCAAAACGAAACCAAAAAAUAAGUUAAAGGACCAAAACGAAACCAAAAAAUAAGUUAAGGAAUCAAAACGAAACUUUUAAUAGUUAAGUGACCAAAAUGAAACCCAAAAAUAAGUUAAGGGACCGAAACGAAACUUUUAAUAGUUACGGGA
rnacentral:pre_miRNA from 1 species